UUGGCUAAUUAGUCCCCAAUUAUACACUUUUAAUUAUGAUUUUUACACUUUUGUGACCUUUGUCGAAAGUCUAUAUCCUCAGUGGUGCUUUUCCAUUUGUACAACCAGUUGUUUUAAAUGUUACUCAAUACAUCUUAACUCGUCUUACCCCGAUAACAGCCCUGUGUGAAUUGGGAGUGAACCACACAGGGUGUAACUACAUACCAUCAGGAUGUGGUGGCCCUCCCGGAGCCCCGCCUUCUCAGCAAUGGAGCCCGACUGGACAUGUGAGAUAAAAAUCCCGCUGUCGUUUCCGCCGACAAGAGUGAUGUCCUUCAGCAGGUUGUCGCCAGGCAGAGAUAACUCCUGUACCGGCUUCAGGGAGGCACUGAUCCUCGAGAAGGAGGACAGAGAUGGACGAAACGGCCUGAAAGAAGAACAAGAAGAACGAAAACACAAAGAAGCAGCACAAGAAAAAGAAGAGAGAGUUUCCUGAAGAUGUUGUUGACCUGCUCCUGGUCGUACAAGUCCAUCCCUUCUGACUGAUGGGACGAGGAAGACGAGUGGACAGACGGUGCUUCGUCCUCUAAGGAAGUGACAGAGAGAUGAAUUAAAAACUGUCACUCCAGAAACGUCCUGAGUUUGAUAUUGGCUGCACGGUGAUGGUGUCCAUACGGUUGCGAUACAUCUCACAGUCCUUCUGCAGCGUGGACGACUUCAGCUCCAGAUCCUCCUUCUCCUCCAGCUCAAAGAUCUGCUCUCUUUUCGGUCGGUUCUCAAUGUCAUUCUUCAGCUUGAGACUCUGCCUCCUCUCCAUCUUACACUCUUCCUCCACCUUGUUUAGCCUGUGCUUCAGCUGAUCGACCUAUC